rnacentral:rRNA from 1 species
AUUGAACGCUGGCGGCAGGCCUAACACAUGCAAGUCGAGCGAGCGGCGGACGGGUGAGUAAUGCCUGGGAAUUGCCCAGUCGAGGGGGAUAACAGUUGGAUACGACUGCUAAUACCGCAUACGAUUGGAUUGAACAGGUGGGAUUAGCUGGUUGGUGAGGUAAUGGCUCACCAGGGCGACGAUCCCUAGCUGGCCUGAGAGGAUGAUCAGCCAAACUGAAUCUGAGACACGUUCCAGACUCCUACGGGAGGCGGCAGUGGGGAAUAUUGCACAUUGGGGGAAACCCUGAUGCAGCAAUGCCGCGUGUGUGAAGAGGGCCUUCGGGUUGUAAGGCACUUUCAGCGAGGAGGCGUUACUCGCAGAAAAAGCACCGGCUAACGCCGUGCCAGCAGCCGCGGUAAUAC